rnacentral:rRNA from 1 species
AUCUGAUCCGAGCUCAAGCAAGGUUACCCGCUGAAUUUAAGCAUAUAAUUAAGCGGAGGAAAAGAAACCAACUGGGAUUCCCGUAGUAGUGGCGAACGAAGUGGGAAGAGCCCGCGAUGUUAAUCCGUUUCUGACGGAGUUGUGCAUCGAGGUUAUAGCUAUUGAGAAACUGGAAGUAAGAUGCCUGGAAAGGCACGCCAGAGAGGGUGACAGCCCCGUGCUUAUUCCAAUGAUUCUCAAGUACAGCUUUAAUCUAAUGAGUCACGCUCUUUGGGAGUAGAGCGCAAAAUGGGUGGUAACCUCCAUCCACGGCUAGAUAAUGGUGAGAGAUCGAUAGCAAACAAGUACCGUGAGGGAAAGUUGAAAAGCACUUCGAAAGGAGAGUUAAAAUACCUGAAAUCGCUGAGGGGGAAGCGGCUGUCCGUGACCCAAUGUUUGAAAGAUUUCUUUCAUUACAUUACUCGACAUCACUUCCGUAUGAUAAGACUUGAUAUCGCUUCGGCUAUAACAAAGUUCCUAGCAUCGAGAAGUGUGGUACGCCAUUGCAAGUUGUCGAGAGUGGCAUGUACAGACGACCCGUCUUGAAACACGGACCAAGGAGUUAAACGCAAGUGCGAGUGUAAGGGUGUUAAACCCAGACGCGUAGUGAAAGCAAAAGCUGUGAAUUACAAUGCAACAGCAGCCGACUCUUGAAGUUCGAGCCUUAGCAUUUCCGUUUAGACCCGAAAGAUGGUGACCUAUACCUGAGUUGGGUGAAGCCAGGGGAAACUCUGGUGGAAGCUCGUAGCGAUACUGACGUGCAAAUCGUUCGUCAAACUUGGGCAUAGGGGCGAAAGACUAAUCGAACCAUCUAGUAGCUGGUUCCCUCCGAAGUUUCCCUCAGGAUAGCUGGAAGUUGUGAUCAGUUAGAUCCGGUAAAGCGAAUGAUUAGAGGCAUCGGGGGCAUCCCGCCCUCGACCUAUUCUCAAACUUUAAAUGGGUUUGCUACCUUGUUAAUUCAGUUAACUUGGUAGAUGAAUGAUACUUCUUAGUGGGCCAGUUUUGGUAAGCAGAACUGGCGAUGAGGGAUGCUCCUAACGUUUGGUUAAGGCGCUAAACACUCGCUGAUCAGACACCAUAAAAGGUGUUGGUUCAUUGAAACAGCAGGGCGGUGGUCAUGGAAGUUGAAAUCCGCUAAGGAGUGUGUAAUAACUCACCUGCCGAAUGGACCAGCCCUGAAAAUGGAUAGCGCUCAAGCGGGUGGCCGAUACCAAACCGUCAAUGAAAGUAGCAUUGACGUGUAGGAGGGCGUGGGGGUUGCUGAGAAGGCUUAGUUGUGAAACUAGCUGGAGCAGCCUCUAGUGCAGAUCUUGGUGGUAGUAGCAAUUAAUCAAAUGAGAACUUUGAUGACCGAAGUGGAUAAGGGUUCCGGGAGAACAGCAAUUGUCCUCGGGUUAGUCGGCCCUAAAGGAAAAGCUUACUCCUUCAGAGUGAGGCCUCGCCUCUUGACCUGAAAGGGAAAAAGGCCCAAAUUCCUUUACUAGUUGGUGGGGUUGUGGUAACACAACUGAACUUGGGCUGCCAGGAGAAGCCCUGGGGAGCGUUAUCUUUGCUCUUUGACAGCACCACUCCUUUGAAUCGGCUUGUCUGGAGAAAAGGAUGAAAAGCUGGAAUAGUUUCUUACACCUGUUGGAAAUCCGGUGCGCUUCUAUUGGUCUUUGAAAUCCCAAGGGAUAUUUACUCCACUUUCUAGCCGUACCCUAAACCGCAUCAGGUCUCCUAGGUUCGCAGCCUCUGGUCGAUAGAAUAAGGCGGAUGAGGGAAGUCGGCAAAUUAGAUCUGUACCUUUGGAAAAAGGAUUGGCUCUGAGGGCCGAGCUUUCAGGACCUAGUGACAGUCUGGCGUUCCAGCUAUUUGUGGGGUAGGGCAACCUACUCUGUGAUUUGCUAUGAGUGUUAGUCUACGCUAGGAGCUUCGGCUACCCUGUUGGCAUUGACCGGCUAACUCAGAACUGGUACGGACAAGAGGAAUCUGACUGUUUAAUUAAAACAAAGCAUUGCGACAAGCGGCAACGCUUUUUACGCAAUGUGAUUUCUGCCCAGUGCUCUGAAUGUCAUUGCGAUGAAAUUCGCCCAAGCGCGGGUAAACGGCGGGAGUAACUAUGACUCUCUUAAGGUAGCCAAAUGCCUCGUCAUUUAAUUAGUGACGCGCAUGAAUGGAUCAACGAGAUUCCUACUGUCCCCAUCCGCCAUCUAGCGAAACCACAGCCAAGGGAACGGGCUUGGCAAAAUAAGCGGGGAAAGAAGACCCUGUUGAGCUUGACUCUAGUCUGACUUUGUGGAGUGACUUGGGGGGUGUAGCAUACGUGGGAGCUUUGGCGACAGUGAAAUACCACGACCUCCACUGUCGCUCUACUUACUCUGUCACAACGAAUCACGUUUUAUACGUGUUCUAGUUUUAAGGUUUUAAUACUGAUCGUAUCAGAGGACAUAUUCAGAUGGGGAGUUUGGCUGGGGCGGCACAUCUGCUAAACUGCAACGCAGAUGCCCUAAGGUUGACUCAGAGAGAACAGAAAUCUCUCGUAGACUGAAAGGGGAAAAGUCAGCUUGAUUCUGAUUUCCAGUGCGAAUACGAACUGCGAAAGCAUGGCCUAUCGAUCCUUUAAGUCCAGAAAGGUUCUGGCUAGAGGUGACAGAAAAGUUACCACAGGGAUAACUGGCUUGUGGCAGCCAAGCGUUCAUAGCGACGUUGCUUUUUGAUCCUUCGAUGUCGGCUCUUCCUAUCAUUGAGACGCAGAAGUCUCAAAAUGUCGGAUUGUUCACCCGCUAAUAGGGAACGUGAGCUGGGUUUAGACCGUCGUGAGACAGGUUAGUUUUACCCUACUUAUUAGGCGGCAUUGUGACAGUAAGCCAACUUAGUACGAGAGGAACCGUUGGCUCAAACCUCUGGUAACGCAGUUGGUCGAAAGGCCAGUGCUGCAAAGCUACGUUUGUAGGAUAAUGACUGAACGCCUCUAAGUCAGAAUCCUAGCUGAACAUCAACGCCUAGUACUCUUGGUCGAGGCAUCACUGUAUAAUUAUUCGAUUGAGUUCAUUCCUUAAUGGCGACAAAAGCUAAAAGGUUAAGUAUUAUUAUUGAUCAGGGGCUUUGCAU